UGUAACGACUCUCAGCAACGGAUAUCUCGACUCUCACAUCGAUGAAAAACAUAGCAAAAUGCCAUACUUUGUGUGAAUUGGAGAAUCCUGUGAACCAUCGAGUCUUUGAAUGCAAGUUAAGCAUGAAGCCUUCUUGUCGAGUGCACAUCUGCUGGAUGUCACGC
rnacentral:rRNA from 1 species